UGAGGAAUAUUGGUCAAUGGACGCAAGUCUGAACCAGCCAAGUAGCGUGCAGGAUGCCGGACCUAUGGGUUGUAAACUGCUUUUAUAUGGGGAUAAAGUGGGGAACGUGUUCCCUUUUGCAGGUACCAUAUGAAUAAGGACCGGCUAAUUCCGUUCCAGCAGCCGCGGUAAUACGGAAGGUUCGGGCGUUAUCCGGAUUCAUUGGGUUUAAAGGGAGCGUAGGCCGUUUGGUAAGCGUGUUGUGAAAUGUAGGAGCUCAACUUCUAGAUUGCAGAGCGAACUGUCAGACUUGAGUGCGCACAACGUAGGCGGAAUGCAUGGUGUAGCGGUGAAAUGCUUAGAUAGCAGGAAGAACUCCGAUUGCGAAGGCAGCUUACGGGAGCGCUACUGACGCUGAAGCUCGAAGGUACGGGUAUCGAACAGG
rnacentral:rRNA from 1 species